AAAGUCGUAACAAGGUUUCCGUAGGUGAACCUGCGGAAGGAUCAUUAUCAUAACAGAAAGUUGCUGGUUUCGACCGGUAAACAUUCUUUACACCCUUUGUGGACCAAAAAACUUUAGCUUCGGUAGCGAGCCGGUCACCUUUCUUUAGGUGCCGCGCUGUCAGCCUACCGGUAGCACCCAACCAAACUUUUUUUUAAACUAUGUCUGAAUAAAAUCAUUUACGAAUGAAAUUAAAACUUUCAACAACGGAUCUCUUGGUUCUC
rnacentral:misc_RNA from 1 species